GUGCUCACUUCGGCAGCACAUACACCCGAAUUGGAACGACACAGAGAAGAUUAGCAUGGCCCUGCGCAAGGAUGACACAAAAACUUGUGAAGCAUUUAAAAAAAAA